GGGUUUUCCGCAGACUUUGAACUGUUGUGGGCCGCGCUGUGAGCGCAUCACUGGAUUUACCCCUUUUGCAGCAGGACUGCAAGACAACCUCGCAGGGGUGGCAGAGGGCCCCUUUUCACACCUCAGCAGGAGGAAGCAAUUUGCAACAUGGAUAUAUCUAACAAUGCCAUAAGACUAAGGGAGCUACAAAGUGCUAUUGUUGAAGACAACAGUAUCUCUGAAAAUAUACAAUCUGUGAGCAUUUCAACUAUAGACAGGGUCUUGAAAAGACAUGUAAUCACCAUGAAGCAGCUGUACAAUGUACCCUUUGAAAGAAAUGCUGACAGAGUGAAAGAGCUACAACUCCAGUUUGUACAGCGCAUAAUGGAAAUGGAAUCAAGAGAACCACCUCACAACUUCAUAUACUUGGAUGAUGCUGGCUUCAACCUGGCCAAAGAGGACCGACAUGACGCAUAGGAAAACUGGCAUAUAAUUUCACCUUUGCCUUCUGUACAUGUAUAGUUUUUCCCACUUUGUCUUUUUCAGGUUUUCAUUUGUUGGUAAAUAGCCUAUGUGUAGUUUCCUGUUUUCUGUAUGUAAGUGACACAAUAAUUGAUGAACAAACACGCUUUUGCACGAUAGACAAAGCAUUUUGAGCAGGUGACGCGUGUUUUCCGGUUAUCCACUAUGUUGUGCAGUUUGUACGUGUUGUUUUGAGAAAUGCACUUGGAGAUCUGCAAACUUCAAUUCUUAUCUGAGAAAUGACUGAAAGCAGUUGUGAAAAACUGUAAUUCUACAUAUUCAUUCGGUUUAAUCCAUGUUUCUGUCAAACACAUUAUAUUAAACACCUGGUCGGUAAUAAUUUCGUUUAUA